GGUAGCACAGAGGAGCUUGCUCCUUGGGUGACGAGUGGCGGACGGGUGAGUAAUGUCUGGGAAACUGCCCGAUGGAGGGGGAUAACUACUGGAAACGGUAGCUAAUACCGCAUAAYGUCGCAAGACCAAAGAGGGGGACCUUCGGGCCUCUUGCCAUCGGAUGUGCCCAGAUGGGAUUAGCUAGUAGGUGGGGUAACGGCUCACCUAGGCGACGAUCCCUAGCUGGUCUGAGAGGAUGACCAGCCACACUGGAACUGAGACACGGUCCAGACUCCUACGGGAGGCAGCAGUGGGGAAUAUUGCACAAUGGGCGCAAGCCUGAUGCAGCCAUGCCGCGUGUAUGAAGAAGGCCUUCGGGUUGUAAAGUACUUUCAGCGAGGAGGAAGGGGAUGUGGUUAAUAACCGCAUUCAUUGACGUUACUCGCAGAAGAAGCACCGGCUAACUCCGUGCCAGCAGCCGCGGUAAUACGGAGGGUGCAAGCGUUAAUCGGAAUUACUGGGCGUAAAGCGCACGCAGGCGG
rnacentral:rRNA from 1 species